AUUUUGGAUUGAGCUGUGAUUGGGGCAGCAUUGUGUGCAGCUGUCCCAUACGAUGAACAUGGUACCUUCAGGCGUUUGGAAAUUGCUCCCAAGGAUGAACCAGACUUGUGGAGAGGUCUUGGCUGAUUUCUUUUGAUUUUCCCAUGAUGUCAAGCAAAGACACACUGAGUUUGAAGGUGGACACCAAUCAAGUUGUAGAAACAUCAAGGAAGCUCAAUGGAAACAGGAAGCUCAAUGGAAACAGGAAGCUCAAUGGAAACAGGAAGCUCAAUGGAAACAGGAAGCUCAAUGGAAAGAGGAUGGCCAAUGGAAACAGGAUGCUCAAUGGAAAGAGGAUGGCCAAUGGAAAGAGGAUGGCCAAUGGAAACAGGAAGCACCUGAGCUCAUUAUCAUGUUGCAUAGCAAAGGAUCUGAAUAUAUGUAAAUGUGAUAUUUCAGUUAUUCAAUUAUUCAUAAAUGUAAAUAAGGUAUUUUGAUUGUUUAUA